rnacentral:rRNA from 1 species
AUACGUAGGGGACGAGCGUUGUCCGGAAUUACUGGGCGUAAAGGGCGCGCAGGCGGAUAUUUAAGUCAGCUGUAAAAGGCAUGAGCUCAACUCAUGUAUGCGGUUGAAACUGGGUAUCUAGAGUGCUGGAGAGGUAGGCGGAAUUCCCGGUGUAGCGGUGAAAUGCGUAGAGAUCGGGAAGAACACCAGUGGCGAAGGCGGCUUACUGGCCAGCAACUGACGCUGAGGCGCGAAAGCCAGGGGAGCGAACGGGAUUAGAUACCCCGGUAGUCCUGGCCGUAAACGAUGAAUGCUAGGUGUGGGUGUCGAGAGGCAUCCGUGCCGGAGUUAACGCGAUAAGCAUUCCGCCUGGGGAGUACGAUCGCAAGAUUGAAACUCAAAUGAAUUGGCGGGG